AUAAAUUGGAGCUUUGGGAUCGUUCCUUCAACGCUCACCAUAUGUUUCUUCUUCUUUAACUUCCUCUAUCUCCUUCUCCAUCGUUGAUUAGUGGUGGUGGUGGUGGUGGUGGAGAUGAUGGUGAGAUUAAACAAGGGACCUCAAAGAUCCCCAUCUCUAAGCGCCUUCACAGGAUCUUUCCAAUAUGGAUUAGGAAACACCACAAGCUCCAAUCGUCUGUGAGUCACUAAACGGAGAAGAAGAAGUUGUAAUUGAAGGAUGAAGUGAUUGAUCCAUUUUUUUGAUUUUUUCCUUGAGGAAGAACGAAGAACGUGAUCUUCUUC
rnacentral:lncRNA from 1 species